GUUGAAUGUAAACAUGCUUCUCAUAUAUAAAGAAGAUAUUUCAUAGGCUAAUUUCUAAUUUUACAGGAAAUAAAUAGCCAGGAAUUUUGGACAAAUAAGAAAAUCAAGAGCAUAGAAUCAAGUACAAGAAGAAGGAACAAUGAAUAGAACUGGAGAAGUGAAAAGACCAGCCACAAACACUAUGAGAUGUUGCCUGCUCUCCGAGGGAUUUUGUGUACUUCCCAGUCACUCUGGAUGGGUGGAUUGCCAGAUGCUCCAGCAUGCUGCAGAGCUGCUCAUGAAUGCCAGGGAGGUGAGUGGAUG
rnacentral:lncRNA from 1 species